rnacentral:rRNA from 1 species
GUCUACGGCCAUACCACCCUGAACGCACCCGAUCUCGUCUGAUCUCGGAAGCUAAGCAGGGUCGGGCCUGGUUAGUACUUGGAUGGGAGAGACAGCUAGCAGCAGAGA